CGGGCUCCACAAGUCGCGCAUAAACCUCACUAUAUAAGCACCACCGAACAUUUAACCGAGUCAUUGCCAAUAACUUGCUUACUGAAUCAAUUCUUUGUUUUCACAUAUAGUUCUUGCUUCUUGUUUUUCUUCAGCAGUUAAUAUUAACACAGAUGGGGCAAAUUAGCAGCUUUAAGUCAGUCAUGAUGGUGUUCGUUUUGGCAGCUUUUGCAAUGGCUGCUGCUUCAGCUCAAAGCACCGAGAUGGCCCCGGCACCAUCUCCUUCAUUGGACACCGGAGCAGCCUCUUCUCUUCCGGUUUCCGGUGCUGUUAUUGCAUCUUCGCUGUUUGUUUCUCUUCUCGCUCUCCUGAAGCACUAAGUCGUUUGGUAAUGGAAGAAAAUCAUAGUUAUUACUAAGAUAUUAUUUUCGAGGAUGAUUGGAGAUUAAUGUAUUGAAUUAUUCAUUUGUUCGUUUCAUAUUUCAUACUAUUAAUGACAUAAUAAUACUUAUUCUUUCUGUAUUCAUUUGGUUUUUCUUUUGAGUUCAAUCACUUGUAGUUUAUUAUUAUUAUUAUUUAAGUAGUAUGUUAAUUUCUAACGAGAACAAGUUAAGGCCUGAGUUGGUAUUAAAGUUGGACAAUCGGAACUUAAAAUUAUGAUUAGAUUACACUUGUUCAAAUAAUAAUAUAAAGUGAAAAUAUCUCCAAAUGGUUCAUUUAAUAUUUUUUUAGGUACUUAUUUACUUAAAUAUGUGACAAAUAGAACAGUAAAAAAUAAAUUUUCUUAAAUACUCUUUGAAUAAAAAUAAAUUUAUGUUAAAUUAUAUUAUUUUUAAUAAUAUAAUUAUAUUAUUUCUAUCUUUUCAAUAUUGAUAAUAUAAAAAAUAUAAUAUUAUUUGAAGAGAAAACAAUCACUUUUCAAUAUUGAUAAGAAAGGAGGAUAAUCUUAUUUAAAGGGAAUUUUAAAACUUUACUAUUGAUAAGAAAGGAGGAUAAUCUUAUUUAAAGGGAAUUUUAAAACUUUACUAUUGAUAAGAAAGGAGGAUAAUCUUAUUUAAAGGGAAUUUUAAAACUUUACUAUUGAUAAGAAAGGAGGAUAAUCUUAUUUAAAGGGAAUUUUAAAACUUUACUAUUGAUAAGAAAGGAGGAUAAUCUUAUUUAAAGGGAAUUUUAAAACUUUACUAUUGAUAAGAAAGGAGGAUAAUCUUAUUUAAAGGGAAUUUUAAAACUUUACUAUUGAUAAGAAAGGAGGAUAAUCUUAUUUAAAGGGAAUUUUAAAACUUUACUAUUGAUAAGAAAGGAGGAUAAUCUUAUUUAAAGGGAAUUUUAAAACUUUACUAUUGAUAAGAAAGGAGGAUAAUCUUAUUUAAAGGGAAUUUUAAAACUUUACUAUUGAUAAGAAAGGAGGAUAAUCUUAUUUAAAGGGAAUUUUAAAACUUUACCUCAUUCCGGUUGUACGAUCAUGCUUUAAAAUGUGUACGGGUCUCGUAUCAAUGUCCCAAAUAGUCUAAAUGUUUUGCUUACCAUAUUCUAAUUAAUAAUAAAUUGACAUUUUGAUGAUAUUUUAAAAAAGAUUCGAAAUUGAAAUGAAAAACAUCCAAGAUACAAUUAAAAUUGCUAAUUCUCUAGUAUCAAAGAUCUAAUUUACAAAUAAAUCAGAAUAUUGAAUUUGAAAAUUUGAUGUAAAAUAAAAAAUUAAAAAAAAAUGGUUGAAAUGGGAUCCAGUUGAGAUUUUGAGAUUUUAAUUUCUUAUUGUCUCUUAAUCAGUUAAAUGAAACUGUUUAAAAACUAUUAAAUCAAGCACCUCUAGGGGCAGAAGAGCUUGAGUUUAUUUGCCAAGAUUAAGGAUUAAUUUCAGUUUUGCUCUUCAAUUUGUAAAAACAUCUGCUAAGCCCACGCUCUAAUUAGUUGCCACCAAUUUAAAGAAAAAAAUUACGAGAUAUGCAAUUUUGUUUUAAGAAAUGUUAACUAAUUAUUUUUUAUUUGAUACAAGAAAAUUGCAACAGCAUGCCUACAGAUUCUUAUAAAAAAAAAUAAAAGAAUGAGUCAUCAAUGGGCCCGUUUAAUGGAAAUUAAGAUUUUUUAUAGAUUUUUUUUCUAAGUAGUAAAGAAGAAAAACCAAAUGAAUAAAGUGAAAAAAAAAGAUGAAAUAUUAUUAAUUAAUAAUUUAUUGAUAAUACAAAUAUUGAUAACAAACAAGCAAAGAAUAAAUGCAAUACUAUAUCUCCAUUUCCUCAAAAUACAACCUCUUUUUUUACACACAACGAAUUUCCAUUCAAUGCUUCAGCAGGGCAAGAAGAGAUAAAACGAGGGAAGAACCAACGACGGCAAGAGAAACCGGCAGAGAGAAGCCGGCUCCGGUAUCCAUCGAAGGAGCCGGCGCCGGCGCCAUCUCGGUACUUUGCGCCGACACGGAAGCAGCCAUUGUAAAAGUUGCCAAAACCAACCCCAUCAUCGCAUUCACGGCCUUUUUUGAGCUACUAACUGUCGCCAUUGUAUUAUAUAUAUACUGUUAAAAGUGUUGAAGAACUUGAAACUGCUAUCCGAGCUUACAAGUGGUUCGGUUCAACGUUUGUGAUGGUUAUAUAUAAGAGCUUCUUUUCGUCUGAGGUAGCCACGUGCAGGUACAGCAAUGCCGCGUAUAUAUAUACGUGUUGGUGAUGAUUGGUCUACGGGUUGGUGAGCAGCGUAUAAACAUAUAUAAUCAUGAUAUCCAGUUCCAGUUUUGGAGGUCUGUAGGCACUGACAGGUUUGGUUAAUGGAGCAAUUAAGGCAGUACACUAACUGGUGUCUAGCUUUCAUUUGGGAAGUGAUUAUACGACUGCGAAAAAUAGAUCAGGAUCCUAUAUUAUAUGAUGACUCGUAUAUAAAUAUUUUUAUUUCUUGAAUAUUUGUCUAUUCACUCUUGAAACAAAUGGAAGACUACCGUGCAUUAGCACAAAUCCUGUGGGUUGAGUGUCUUUUUAACUCUUGGCUUUAUAUGUUUAUAAAAUUGUAGAUUAUACAAUACAUACACAUGGUGGCACCUCUUAAAACUUUCUUAAUGUGAUGAUUUUGCCAAGAAAUUAAUUUGUGCCGAACUGUCUUAUUAGCUAAACAUGUUGAGGUAAUGAAACAGUUUAAAGUUGGCAGAGCGAUGAGUUUUAUUGUAAGAUUCACUGAUAUUUUUAAUAUUAAAUUUAAUACAUCUUAUUAUAAGAAUUACUAUUGAUCCCAUAAUAAGACUACUGUUAUGUCACAUGACAAAACACUACUAGAUUGUCUCAGAUAACCUCACAAAAGUCCUUCUCUAUUGCCAAAUUUGUAUAGCAAAUUCCUAUUGAAUCAUGUAUCCAUGACCUUAAGUAAUUAAAAGGAAAUAAAAAUAAUGACAAGGAAGGAAUUAAGGGGAAAAAAAAUAACUCUCGUCUAAGAUUGUACUAUAUAAAUAGAUAAUAUAUUAAGAUUUUAACUAGUAGUGACCGACCAUUUUCUCAUCUAACAAAAGAGAGAUAGGUCAUUAGAGGAGUAAGAAUUAUCCUUCAAAUUAUUAUAAUACUUUUUUUUAUAAAUCAAACGCUAAGUUAGGCAUCAAAGGGUCAUCAAUAAAUAGAAGAUGGAUACUCAGAACUUUAGGAACGAAUCAUUUCUUAGAAAUGGAGGAUUUGGAGCCCCUUCAAUACUUUUUUUUUUUUUAAUUUAAUGAUCUUUACCCACUGUCAAUCUGUAGAUUCUAACCAAUUCAUUACACAUGCUUGUAAACUACAUAUUUAAGGCACGCAACCGUUUACCGACUUAACAAUGGUCAACAUCGUGAGUCCAACUACCACGUGCCAACGUGUUCCAGAUCCCACUCGGUCCCAUGUUUUUAGUUCCGACCAAUCUGAGUCUGUCAAGAUACGCUUUGGGCGAAAACCAAACCAAACACAACACGUUUGCCGUCACACAGAUCGAAGCGGGCUCCACAAGCCGCGCAUACACCUCAUGACCUCACUAUAUAAGCACCACCUAACAUUUAACGGAGCCAUUGCCCAUAACUUGCUUACUGAAUCAAUUCUUUGUUUUCAUAUAUAGUUCUUGCUUCUUGUUUUUCUUCAGCAAUUAAUAUAAAUAUAGAUGGCGCAAAUUAGCAGCUUAAAGUCCGUUAUGAUGAUGUUCGUUUUGGCAGCUCUUGCAAUGGCUGCUGCUUCAGCUCAAAGCACCGAGAUGGCGCCGGCACCGGCUCCUUCAUCGGACACCGGAGCAGCCUCCUCUCUGCCGGUUUCCAGUGCUGUUAUUGCAUCUUCACUCUUUGUUUCUUUUCUUGGCCUCCUGAAGCACUAAGUCGUUUGGUAACGGAAGAAAAUCAAAAUUAUUACUACGAUAUUAUUUUCGAGGAUGAUUGGAGAUUAAUGUAUUGAAUUAUUUAUUUGUUCGAUUAAUAUUUCAUACUAUUAAUGGCAUAAUAAUACUUAUUCUUUCUGUAUUCAUUUGGUUUUUCUUUUGAGUUCAAUAACUUGUAGUUAUUAUUAUUAUUAUUAUUAUUUAAUAUAUAUGCUUAUAAUUAGUGUGUUAAUUUCCAACGAGAACAAGUCGAGGCUUGAUUUGGUAUUGAGAUUAGAUAAUCGGAGCUUAAAAUUACAAUAAGGUUGUACUUGUCCAAAUAAUACUACGCAAGUGAAUCUUCAAAAGACUAAUUUAAUAUUACUUUUUAGAUAUUUAUUUAUUUAAAUGUGUGACAAAUAGAAGUGAGAAAAAAUAAGUUUUUUU
rnacentral:lncRNA from 1 species